CCGAUGGAGGGGGAUAACUACUGGAAACGGUAGCUAAUACCGCAUAACGUCGCAAGACCAAAGAGGGGGACCUUGGGCCUCUUGCCAUCGGAUGUGCCCAGAUGGGAUUAGCUAGUAGGUGGGGUAAUGGCUCACCUAGGCGACGAUCCCUAGCUGGUCUGAGAGGAUGACCAGCCACACUGGAACUGAGACACGGCCCAG
rnacentral:rRNA from 1 species